rnacentral:rRNA from 1 species
AGCGAACGCUGGCGGCAGGCUUAACACAUGCAAGUCGAGCGGGCACCUUCGGGUGUCAGCGGCAGACGGGUGAGUAACACGUGGGAACGUACCCUUCGGUUCGGAAUAACGCUGGGAAACUAGCGCUAAUACCGGAUACGCCCUUAUGGGGAAAGGUUUACUGCCGAAGGAUCGGCGCGCGUCUGAUUAGCUAGUUGGUGGGGUAACGGCCUACCAAGGCGACGAUCAGUAGCUGGUCUGAGAGGCUGAUCAGCCACACUGGGACUGAGACACGGCCCAGACUCCUACGGGAGGCAGCAGUGGGGAAUAUUGGGCAAUGGGCGCAAGCCUGAUCCAGCCAUGCCGCGUGAGUGAUGAAGGCCUUAGGGUUGUAAAGCUCUUUUGUCCGGGACGAUAAUGACGGUACCGGAAGAAUAAGCCCCGGCUAACUUCGUG